rnacentral:sRNA from 1 species
UACCGUUGCACGCCAUUGAUUACCGGUA